rnacentral:rRNA from 1 species
AUUGAACGCUAGCGGGAUGCUUUACACAUGCAAGUCGAACGAGUGGCGGACGGGUGAGUAAUAUAUCGGAAGUGCCCAGUAGCGGGGGAUAACUACUGGAAACGGUAGCUAAUACCGCAUACUAUCGGAUAACCCAUAUGGGAUUAGCUAGUAGGUUAGGUAAUGGCUCACCUAGGCGACGAUCCCUAGCUGGUCUGAGAGGAUGAUCAGCAAAACUGGGACUGAGACACGGCGCAGACUCCUACGGAGGCAGCAGUGGGGAAUAUUGCGAAAUGGGCGCAAGGCGGAUGGAGCCAUGCCGCGGGUAUGAAGAAGGCCCUAGGGUCGUAAAGUACUUUCAGUCGGGAGGCGUUACCGACAGAAGAAGCACCGGCUAACUCCGUGCCAGCAGCCGCGGUAAUUC